rfam:Triticum urartu cultivar G1812 contig561137, whole genome shotgun sequence.
CAACUACUCCCUCUGUCCCAAAUUUCUUGUCUUAGAUUUGUCUAGAUACAUAUGUAUCUAAUACUAAAAUGUGACUUGAUACAUCAUUAUCUAGACAAAUCUAAGACAAGAAUUUUGGGACGGGGGGAGUACUUU